rnacentral:rRNA from 1 species
GCUUGCUUGUUGGGGUUGUAGGACUCCAAUAUGGUAGUCUGUUAGUAUAGUUGAAGGAUUUGGAAAAUUCCGCUAAAGAGGGUGAAAGCCCCGUAGACGAAAUGCUGACAACACCUAGGAGGAUCCUGAGUACGGCGGAACACGAGAAAUUCCGUCGGAAUCCGCGGGGACCAUCCCGCAAGGCUAAAUACUCCCUAGUGACCGAUAGUGAACCAGUACCGUGAGGGAAAGGUGAAAAGCACCCCGGAAGGGGAGUGAAAUAGAUCCUGAAACCGUGUGCCUACAACAAGUCAAAGCUCGUUAAUGAGUGAUGGCGUGCCUUUUGUAGAAUGAACCGGCGAGUUACGAUUGCAUGCGAGGUUAAGUCGAAGAGACGGAGCCGCAGCGAAAGCGAGUCUGAAUAGGGCGAAUGAGUAUGUAGUCGUAGACCCGAAACCAUGUGAUCUACCCAUGUCCAGGUUGAAGGUGCGGUAAAACGCACUGGAGGACCGAACCCACGUACGUUGAAAAGUGCGGGGAUGAGGUGUGGGUAGCGGAGAAAUUCCAAACGAACUUGGAGAUAGCUGGUUCUCUCCGAAAUAGCUUUAGGGCUAGCCUCGGAAUUGAGAAUGAUGGAGGUAGAGCACUGUUUGGACUAGGGGCCCAUCUCGGGUUACCGAAUUCAGAUAAACUCCGAAUGCCAUUCAUUUAUAUCCGGGAGUCAGACUGCGAGUGAUAAGAUCCGUAGUCGAAAGGGAAACAGCCCAGACCACCAGCUAAGGUCCCAAAAUAUAUGUUAAGUGGAAAAGGAUGUGGGGUUGCACAGACAACUAGGAUGUUGGCUUAGAAGCAGCCACCAUUUAAAGAGUGCGUAAUAGCUCACUAGUCGAGUGACCCUGCGCCGAAAAUGUACCGGGGCUAAACAUAUUACCGAAGCUGUGGACUACACCAUUAGGUGUAGUGGUAGGAGAGCGUUCUAAGGGCGUUGAAGGUCGAUCGUGAGGACGGCUGGAGCGCUUAGAAGUGAGAAUGCCGGUAUGAGUAGCGAAAGACAGGUGAGAAUCCUGUCCACCGUAUGACUAAGGUUUCCUGGGGAAGGCUCGUCCGCCCAGGGUUAGUCGGGACCUAAGCCGAGGCCGAUAGGCGUAGGCGAUGGACAACAGGUUGAUAUUCCUGUACCAGUUGUUUUUGUUUGAGCAAUGGAGGGACGCAGUAGGCUAAGGAAUGCAUGCGAUUGGAAGUGCAUGUCCAAGCAAUGAGUCUUGAG